AACGGAUUAUUCUUUAUAGCUUGCUAUGAAGAAUAAUUAGUGGCAGACGGGUGAGUAAUGCAUAGGAAUCUACCUAGUAGUAUGGGAUAGCCACUAGAAAUGGUGGGUAAUACUGUAUAAUCCCUGCGGGGGAAAGAUUUAUCGCUAUUAGAUGAGCCUAUGUUAGAUUAGCUAGUUGGUAGGGUAAAGGCCUACCAAGGCGAUGAUCUAUAGCUGGUCUGAGAGGAUGAUCAGCCACACUGGAACUGAGAUACGGUCCAGACUCCUACGGGAGGCAGCAGUGGGGAAUAUUGGACAAUGGGCGCAAGCCUGAUCCAGCUAUGCCGCGUGAGUGAGGAAGGCCUUAGGGUUGUAAAACUCUUUCAGUAGGGAAGAUAAUGACGGUACCUACAGAAGAAGUCCCGGCAAACUCCGUGCCAGCAGCCGCGGUAAUACGGAGGGGGCAAGCGUUGUUCGGAAUUAUUGGGCGUAAAGGGCAUGUAGGCGGUUCGGUAAGUUAAAGGUGAAAUGCCAGGGCUUAACCCUGGAGCUGCUUUUAAUACUGCC
rnacentral:rRNA from 2 species